UACGAAGGGUGCAAGCGUUACUCGGAAUUACUGGGCGUAAAGCGUGCGUAGGUGGUUUGUUAAGUCUGAUGUGAAAGCCCUGGGCUCAACCUGGGAAUUGCAUUGGAUACUGGCAGGCUAGAGUGCGGUAGAGGGUAGUGGAAUUCCCGGUGUAGCAGUGAAAUGCGUAGAGAUCGGGAGGAACACCCGUGGCGAAGGCGGCCAUCUCGGACCAGUACUGACGCUGAGGCACGAAGCGUGGGAGCAACAGG
rnacentral:rRNA from 1 species